rnacentral:rRNA from 1 species
AUUGAACGCUGGCGGCAGGCCUAACACAUGCAAGUCGAGCGGAUGAAGGGAGCUUGCUCCUGGAUUCAGCGGCGGACGGGUGAGUAAUGCCUAGGAAUCUGCCUGGUAGUGGGGGAUAACGUCCGGAAACGGGCGCUAAUACCGCAUACGUCCUGAGGGAGAAAGUGGGGGAUCUUCGGACCUCACGCUAUCAGAUGAGCCUAGGUCGGAUUAGCUAGUUGGUGGGGUAAAGGCCUACCAAGGCGACGAUCCGUAACUGGUCUGAGUGGAUGAUCAGUCACACUAGAACUGAGACACGGUCCAGACUCCUACGGGAGGCAGCAGUGGGGAAUAUUGGACAAUGGGCGAAGGCCUGAUCCAGCCAUGCCGCGUGUGUGAAGAAGGUCUUCGGAUUGUAAAGCACUUUAAGUUAGGAGGAAGAGCAGUAAGUUAAUACCUUGCUGUUUUGACGUUACCAGCAGAAUAGGCACCGGCUAACUUCGUG